rnacentral:rRNA from 1 species
AUUGAACGCUGGCGGUAGGCCUAACACAUGCAAGUCGAACGGCAGCACAGUAAGAGCUUGCUCUUACGGGUGGCGAGUGGCGGACGGGUGCGGAAUACAUCGGAAUCUACUUUUUCGUGGGUGAUAACGUAGGGAAACUUACGCUAAUACCGCAUACGACCUACGGGUGAAAGCAGGGGAUCUUCGGACCUUGCGCGAUUGUAUGAGCCGAUGUCGGAUUAGCUAGUUGGCGGGGUAAAGGCCCACCAAGGCGACGAUCCGUAGCUGGUCUGAGAGGAUGAUCAGCCACACUGGAACUGAGACACGGUCCAGACUCCUACGGGAGGCAGCAGUGGGGAAUAUUGGACAAUGGGCGAAAGCCUGAUCCAGCCAUGCCGCGUGGGUGAAGAAGGCCUUCGGGUUGUAAAGCCCUUUUGUUGGGAAAGAAAAGCAGCAGGUUAAUACCCCGCUGUUCUGACGGUACCAAAAGAAUAAGCACCGGCUAACUUCGUG